rnacentral:rRNA from 1 species
AGCGAACGCUGGCGGCAGGCCUAACACAUGCAAGUCGAACGAACCUUUCGGGGUUAGUGGCGGACGGGUGAGUAACACGUGGGAACGUGCCUUUAGGUUCGGAAUAACUCAGGGAAACUUGUGCUAAUACCGAAUGUGCCCUUCGGGGGAAAGAUUUAUCGCCUUUAGAGCGGCCCGCGUCUGAUUAGCUAGUUGGUUGAGGUAAUGGCUCACCAAGGCGACGAUCAGUAGCUGGUCUGAGAGGAUGGUCAGCCACAUUGGGCCUGAGACACGGCCCAAACUCGGGGGGAGGGAGGCAGGGGGGAAAUUGGGGCGCGGGGAAAAGGCGUGAGGCACCAAGGCCGGGUGAAUGUAAAAGUCUUUAGGUUUGUAAAAUUCUUACGCGGGGGGUGUGAGGGAGGGGACCGGGGAAAGAAGCCCCGGCUAACUUCGUG